rnacentral:rRNA from 1 species
UACGGAGGGUGCAAGGGUUAUCCGGAUUCACUGGGUUUAAAGGGUGCGUAGGUGGGCAGGUAAGUCAGUGGUGAAAUCUCCGAGCUUAACUCGGAAACUGCCGUUGAUACUAUUUGUCUUGAAUAUUGUGGAGGUAAGCGGAAUAUGUCAUGUAGCGGUGAAAUGCUUAGAUAUGACAUAGAACACCAAUUGCGAAGGCAGCUUACUACACAACGAUUGACGCUGAGGCACGAAAGCGUGGGGAUCAAACAGG